GUGGGCCCUCGAAAUCCCGUUGCGGGGGGAUUCAGGCGAGACCCGCGGGGAGGCAGUCGGCUGUCGGCACCGACCUCUAGAAAGGCGGAGCCGACGGCUUGGUCUCCGCGGGGCUCGUCGCACUUCCUCCCGCACUGCGGACGCCGCAGCCCGUUCGGUAGAGGCGAGAGUCUGCCGUGAGGCGGGGAGAGGCAGUUGGCCGGGUUUCGUUCCUCGCGUUCGAUCUCCGGUUGCUAGCCUCCCCGUCCGAGGCGGGACACCGGACGGAGGCAGAAGCCACCCUCAGGGGAGGCUCGCCGUCCCCUUCCUCGGAUGCGCGGUCCGGAUGGCUGGUGCUCGUCAGGCGGCUGGGAGUCACUCCCGAGAGUGGCCCCGGCUUCCCGCACCUCCGGAGGCCGACCGGAUACGCGCGGAGGGGAUGACGGCUGGCGGCGAGUAGGUCGGUCACCCACCCGACCCGUCUUGAAACACGGACCAAGGAGUCUAACAUGUGCGCGAGUCUCAGGGUCUUGACCAGGCCCUGGGGCGCAGUGAAGGUGACGGAAUCGUAGAGUUUCCGAGCGUUGGGACCGGAGUCCGCUGGCUCCGAGCACCAACGGCGCGCCCCGUCCGGUGCUCCGGUGGGGCGCAGUCGGAGCGUACACGUUGGGACCCGAAAGAUGGUGAACUAUGCCUGGGCAGGACGAAGUCAGAGGAAACUCUGAUGGAGGUCCGCCGCGGUUCUGACGUGCCAAUCGAUCGUCGGGAUCCGGGGUAUA
rnacentral:rRNA from 1 species